CUUGCGCACGCACGCUGGCGCGGUUCCGGGAGGAUUUGUAUACCGGUGGAGGAUUUGCAGGACCAGCUGCUGGCAGAGCGUCAGGAAGCUGCUGGCCGGGAAUCUCAAGGAUGGCGGCUUUGCAGGCAGGAUGAAAACGCUACGGGGAACGAUGUCCUCUGCCAGGAAGACUUGAGGAUACUCUCGUAAAGAUGUGAAUCUCGCGGCUCGCCUUGCCAUCGAGCUACUAUAAUGAAAGCAACCACAGGUAUGUGUCGAUUUGCUA